GAUACAUUCUUUCCACACACUCAGAACAUCAGCUUGCAAGAAAUGAUGAAGCUUAGUGUAGAAUCAUGGACAACCACUGAACUCAGGUAGUCACCAGCAAAACACAGGAAACCACCACAGCUUUGCCAGCUGGCUUGGGACUUUUCAUUCCCUUCACCUUGGAGAGAAGAGUGUGCUCUGAUAUGAAUGAAGAUACAGGAUCAUUGUGGUCUGUUUUCCCCAUUCUUUGAGCCACCCCAAUGCAGGUACCAAGAGAAGAAACCUUUCUCUCUGCCCUUGAAAGAGUAAUAGGUAAAAUUGGACCUAUUGAAAUAUCAGACUUUGUCUUGUGGAUGGAUCGCUGCCAUCGGUGCAGGGUGAAUGGAAGAAAUAUCCUCCAAACAAAGGAUUUCGUAGGAUGCAAAU